rnacentral:rRNA from 1 species
UACGUAGGGUCCGAGCGUUGUCCGGAAUUACUGGGCGUAAAGAGCUCGUAGGUGGUUUGUCGCGUUGUUCGUGAAAACUCACAGCUCAACUGUGGGCGUGCGGGCGAUACGGGCAGACUAGAGUACUGCAGGGGAGACUGGAAUUCCUGGUGUAGCGGUGGAAUGCGCAGAUAUUAGGAGGAACACCGGUGGCGAAGGCGGGUCUCUGGGCAGUAACUGACGCUGAGGAGCGAAAGCGUGGGGAGCGAACAGG